GGUCAAAAUGGUGUCAGCAUGGGAAAGGCUGAACAAAGGAAGAGGAAGAUUUUCAGGCUGCUAACUAGUGGGUGAGAGGACAGUGGGUAGGAGAGAAAGGAGAGACACACUGGACUUCCUGGUAAAAGGGAGGGUUUCAGGUCUGCUGUUAACAAUCAACACCUAUUGAUAGAAAGGGAAUCCCAAAGGGUAAUUUUAAAAGCAGGAAAGUCCUUGAUUCUUUUCAUAUAGUUCAAACAUGAGUUCUGGAGCCCAUCAAACCCACCACUGCCUCUUGCUAGCUAUAUGACAUUGGAGAAAUUCCUUUGUCACCUGCCCCCUCGCCCUGAGUCUCAAUUUUCUAACUUCCAAGAAAGACGCAACAGAAACUCACUUCACAGGGCCUUUAUGAUAACUGAAUGAGACAACAUACUUAGGUAUCUGGUCCUUGAUAUCUGGGAGAUGCUGAGUAAAUGAAAAUGAUCCUUUCUCCCUCUCUGAUACUUAAUGUGGCCCCUUACAUUGGGCUGCUGGUUCUGGAGGGUCGCAGGGAAGCAGGAUGGCUCAUGCUGCUUUCUCCACAAGCUCUGGCACCCGGUAAGAACCAGCACAGCAUGCAUGGAGCACACACCAUACACCAGGCUUGGUGCUAAGAGCUUUACAUGCUUGAUCUCAUUUAACUGCCCUCAGAAGUCAGGGGAUGAUCCCCAUUUCAGAGAACACUGAGGUUCAUAAAUGUCAAAUAACCUGCCUGGAGGAAUCAGGUCUGAGAACAAGGUCCGUGCUCAUGACCACUGGGUGGAACCCUUCUCAACAUGGUACCCGUGGUCCCAGAGUCACAGGCCUUCUUAAGAUGUGAAAUUUGGUUAGAGAUCAAUUUUCUAUCUCUGAAAUCAUCAUAUCCCCUCUCAAUUCUUAUGUGUUUAUAGGAAAGGACGUGUCAACAUAGAGACUUAGGAGGUCAAAGUGAACUUCCUGAUCCCCAACAGGCAGGAGUCCUGCCAAAGCCAAAAUUUAUGUGUCACCUUGGAAGAUGAUGCACCAGGAAGAAUGGGGAGGAGGGAGGAGGAAAAACUGCUGAUGAGGCCGACUCGCUCUUUGGGGCUUAUCAUAUCAGCAAAGCCAGCUCUUUUGAGAUGGAAGAACAAAGAUGUUUCUCCUCUGUGAGGAGGUGACAGUGGUGUGCUGGGUGAAGGAGAGCAGCUUUGUCCUGGAAGGAAUCUGACUUGGAAGGAGGCCCAGUUGUCCAGCAGGUCUCUGACAGCCUGGCAGAAAACCUGGCCUUGCCUCUACUACCCGAAUGACCUUACAUGUGGGAUUUAACCUCUCUGUGCCUCAGGGUCCUCAUCGAUAAAAUAGGGAUAUUUAAUCCCCACAAAGGUUGCUGUGAAGUUUAAAUGUGUCAUUGUAAGGAAAGUGCUUAGCACAGUGCCCGGUACACAGAAGGGACUCGAUAGCCACUAGCAAGCAUCUCCCUCGUUAUUUUGCAGCAUUAUCACCGGUGUCUCCAUUCAGUUAACUUGUCUUAGAGGCUCCAACAAACAAGACCAAGCCAGUGCCUAGCCGGAGGCGGGCGGCACGGGACCGUUUUCUAGUUUUUUUUUCUUUCUUCUUUUUCAACCUUGGCAAAGAGAUAACGCCCUGAACAACGAGGAGGCCUCAGGAUGGCCAUGGAGGUUUGGACGCCCGCUCCAAGCGCUGGUUAAAAAUAAUAUGGAGACGGCACGGGAUUUGGCCUCUAGAAAAUAUAGGUCCCAUUGAAGAUGUGCAGGCGUCUGCACACGGCGGUGUGGAGGAGAAUAUGACAUCAGAUAUUGUAAGAUGUAUUUCUUUCUCUGGAAGAGAAAUGCUUUUUGUUUUUUCUGGGGCUUCUAGAAUAUCAAGUGAGUAUCAUUUUUGACUGCCAUCAUGAUUCAGGCCUCAGUGUCAUGGACUCUAGCGACCGGUCACUGGAGGUUAUGACCAGCUGAGGCCUGAUUGAAAAUGGCAGUCAAAGGACGGCAUCACUUACAAACUGUUUGGUAGUGAGUGUAUUUCUCAGUAGCAACCUUUUCUCCUUGAAAAAUAAUUUUGUAUUUGCCAGCCAACAUAGACUUGCUAAAUAUUCCAAAAAACCCACUGCAUGUUCCACAAGCAUCCUCUAUGCUUUAUUUGGGGGCCAGUGACUUGAUCACUGUUUCACAUCCGGUUUUUUAUUUCACCAAGUGAAUAAAGGCCUUUGCCAACAGAACCCAGCAUGAUCUGAUCCUCAUGGUGUUUUUUUUUUCUCUUAUUGCAGAGAAAGUCGAAAGCCCAGCGUCAAGUCUGUACAUAUACUUUUUUUUUUAAACAGCUUUAUUUAGACAUAGUUGACAUGCAAAACAACUCACCCAUUUAAAGUACGUGAUUCAGCGUUUUUACUAUAUUUACACGGUUGUGCAACCAUUGUUACAAUCUCAUCUUAGAACCUCUUUAUUCCCCCCUCAAAGAAACCCCACUAGUAGUCACUCCUGUUUUUCCCAUCUCCCAUGCCCCUGGAUCUAGGCAGCCACAAAUGUACUUCCUGUUUCUAUAGUACAGUGCUUUUCUGUAUUAACCGGUUCUUAAGGUGACUAUUUCGCAUUGAUGAAGUUGCUCUAGCUAGAAAGCCAAGGCUCUUUCAUUUCCUUCUGCCCUUCUCCUUUGCCAUCCUUCAACACCAAGGAGAAUGGUCCAGCAACAGCUCGGUCCAAGCUUGUCAACCGCCCACCUCCACACACUCCAGCCCCGGUCCACAUCCCCCAAGGCUCCUUGUGGGAUUCCUCAGCAGCACCAAUGCACUGACUGUCACUAUGUUCUCCUAGAUUUGGUCGAAGAUCUCAGUGAAUACCCAUCUGUCCAUCUUGAAGACCUCAUGACACCGGAGAUGGCAAAGGAGAGACGCGAAGAUUACCUCUGCUGGGUUAACAUGGCACAAUCUCGGCUCAAUGAACCCAUCAGCUCCCAGGUUUGAGGACUUCUCCGGCUUCCGCAUCCCGAGUAGCUGGGAUUACGGACGCCUGCCACCACACCCAGCUCAAAUCAUUUUAUGAAUGCAUAUUUCCAUCUGGGUGAAAAAAAAAUCACAAGCCUCUCUCUCUUCCUACUGAGCACCUGUGAACAGUGACCUGCAGUUUGUGGCUGCAGCCAGUCCUCAUGGAGCCUGCUGUUCUUACAUUUCAUUCUGAGGCUCACAUUCUCAGUCACCAUGCAGAAGAACACCCGCCCCAUCCUGGGUCAUUACAGAGUGGGCCAAUCCAUCUGCUGCAUCUGAGGAGCUGGGUCCAGCUUCUACGGUGAAUCCAUAUAUUUCUGUAUUUCCUGGAUAAGGAAGAGGAAAGGAGCUGAGCUGGUGGAGGAAGAAGAUCUAAUAUUAACUGACUCCUUAUUUUGUACCAGCAAAGCAGUUGCCGCUACAGACUGAAUGCAUUUGGGCCAUCCGUGGGUUAGUGGGUUCACGGAAUUCACAUCAAAUCAGAAUCAAAACCAAAACCAAAGUGCAGAUAAAGGCACGCCCGUUCGUCAAGCAGUUUAAACCAAGUGAAAAUCAAAACCAAAACCAAAACCAAAGUGCUGAUAAAGGCACGCUGUGGGUGAUCAGGCCAUGCUUCCACUCAAAUGGAGUGGACAAGUUCCCAAGACCGGUCCUGUCAAGCAGCUCAAACCAAGUCAAAAUCAAAACCAAAACCAAAGUGCUGAUAAAGGCACGCCCGUUUGCCUAGGAAUUCAAACCAAGUCAAAAUCAAAACCAAAACCAAAGUGCCGAUAAAGGCAUGCCGUGGGUGAUCAGGCCACGCUUCCACUCAAAUGGAGUGGGCAAGUUCCCAAGACCAGUCCUACCGUAUUCCAGAUAUCUGGACUCCAAGCGCCAGUUCCUUCCCGGUGUUCAGCCACUGCACUGAUCCUCUGCGGGGGCCUGCCAUGCACUGCUCUGACGAGGCAUUGCACCGGGGCAAAUGCCUACCCAGGAGCAUGCUCAGGAACCGCGUAGCUCAAGCUGGCCGGAGUCCCCUGCAGGGAUGCUCCACAGGGCAAGCCUAAGCUGCCUAAGAGGCUGCCUCGCUUCCCGGUCAGGGAACCAAGAAAUGUAGCAGGAUGAGCCACAGACAAAACUCCUCAGACACCGGGUUAAACAAGGAAGAGGCUUUAUUCGGCCGGGAAAUCGGCAGACUUGCGUCUCAAGAACAGAACUAAGCUCCCCGAAGAAAGAGUUCCUGGCCCUUUUAAGGGCUUACAACUCUAAGGGGUCCAGGUGACAGGGUCGUGAUAGACUGAGCAAGCAUGGGGUACGUGACUAGGUGGGGGUAAGCAAGUCAAGGACGUGUCAACAUAGAGACUUAGGAGGACAAAGUGAACUUCCUGAUCCCCAACAGGCAGAUCCCCAAAAGCCAAAAUGUAUGUGUCACCUUGGAAGAUGACGCACCAGGAAGAAUGGGGAGGAGGGAGGAGGAAAAACUGCUGAUGAGGCCGACUCGCUCUUUGGGGCUUAUCAUAUCAGCAAAGCCAGCUCUUUUGAGAUGGAAGAACAAAGAUGUUUCUCCUCUGUGAGGAGGUGACAGUGGUGUUCUGGGUGAAGGAGAGCAGCUUUGUCCUGGAAGGAAUCUGACUUGGAAGGAGGCCCAGUUGUCCAGCAGUGGAUAUGACGUCAGAUAUUGACACAGCCAACAAUCGACUCAUCAUUUCUGAAGACCUGUGGAGUGUCCAUUGUGG
rnacentral:lncRNA from 1 species